UCCCUGGUGGCUGAGACGGUGAAGCGUCUGCCUGCAAUGAGGGAGACCCAGGUUCAAUCCCUGGGUUGGGAA
rnacentral:tRNA from 1 species